GAAACAUGAAGAUGUGGGAGACAUGGCCAUAACACACGACUAUGUCUUACGGAGCUAACAUUUCUGUUUCUGAGGAGGAGUGAAACACGACCGUGUGCCUUAUAUUGGGUUAACACAUGGCCAUAUGUUAAGAAACCAAUGCUUAUUUUUCUAAGGCGGAGUGAGACAUGACCAUGCUCCUAGAAGACACGACUGUGUGCCCUAUACUGGGUUAACACACGAUCAUGUGUUAAGAAAAUAACGUUUUUG
rnacentral:lncRNA from 1 species